rnacentral:piRNA from 1 species
UCCACUAAGAGUCUGUUGCAUUCCCAAGGC